GGGGAAUAUUGGGCAAUGGACGCAAGUCUGACCCAGCGACGCCGCGUGAAGGAAGAAGGCUUUCGGGUUGUAAACUUCUUUUAAGGGGGAAGAGUAGAAGACGGUACCCCUUGAAUAAGCCACGGCUAACUACGUGCCAGCAGCCGCGGUAAUACGUAGGUGGCAAGCGUUAUCCGGAUUUACUGGGUGUAAAGGGCGUGUAGGCGGGACUGUAAGUCAGGCGUGAAAAUUAUGGGCUCAACCCAUAACCUGCGUUUGAAACUACUUUUCUUGAGUAUCGGAGAGGUAAUCGGAAUUCCUUGUGUAGCGGUGAAAUGCGUAGAUAUAAGGAAGAACACCAGUGGCGAAGGCGGAUUACUGGACGACAACUGACGGUGAGGCGCGAAAGCGUGGGGAGCAAACA
rnacentral:rRNA from 1 species